CUCAUUCCUCUUCCGUUUCCUCUUCAUUCUUCCCGAACCAAGCAGCCGCUCCAUCUCCUUGCUCGCCGAAGCCUUCUCCUCUUCCCCGAACCCGAUCACCUUCCCCUCUCGCGACGUUUCUCCUUCCUGACGCGUACAAAAACCCUUCCUCCUCUCAUUUGCGCCGGCUCGACUCUUUCCUUUCGCCUCCGCCCCGAUCCUCUUCUUUUUUUUCCGCUUUGCGUCUCUGCCUUAGUCGCAGUCGGCAUCGUCGCAUCCAACCACGGUGCCGGUAGCCACCGCCGAUCACCGACGCCGAGCUACCUUUGCCCUCUGCCCUAGCUAUUCUCGCGCCACCUCCCCUACCGAGCAGCUCUUGUGCACAACGACAACCAUUGUGCGACGGUCCCCAUGAUCUGUCUUCUCUUUUCCUCAUCAUGGAUGUGAUCCACCAGCACACUUAGGGAAAAUUAGGGAAAAGAGGGAGGGGGGGGGGGGGGGGGGGUUGGUUCGCUCCGAUCAUCAUCGGAGGCUUGAGACGCUGCUAGUAAACCGAUCUUCCAGCCGCAUCCUCUGUUCCUCACGCGAGCACCAUAGACGCAUCACUGUUGGUUGCCACGAGUUUGCUGAUGACACUGGAUGCCUUUCUCUUCACCCUGACGGUGCCCUAACCGAUCUGGUUAGCCAUCGCUUCUUUCUUCCAUGCUGCAUGCAGUACGCCACAAUCCACCUUGCCGACACUGUUGAUUUUCUCAACACUUGAGUUAAUUCAUUUAACUUAGUCGAUAAAUUCAGAGAAUUAUUGAUACUCAGUUUUCCUAGGGGGAUUUGAUUUGGAGGUUAGUAGCUUCAGCUAGCCCUGACUUCUAUUUUGACAGUGAGUCUCUCUAGCUAUGAAUCAUCGAUUGCUGGAGAAGGAGCCAAGCUACGAGCUGCAAAGGACUUUGAUUCGAGACGAGAGUCAUGACGUGGAAUCUUUCGGAUACGAUCUCCAUUUUUUAGGCGGGUACCUUGACUUAUCUUUUUUUAUAAUGUCAUUUUGAUAUGCAUAGUAGGUUAUAACCACUAGUAAUAAUUAUGUUUAUCUUUGUUUUGGGUAUGCCACUAUUUGAUACCUAUAGCAUGCUUUUGUUUGUUAUUAUCUGUAUGCAUUUAGACUUAUAUUCUUUUGUUCUUGCCAUGUGUACCUAUUAUUAUAUAAGUAGUGACAUACAUUGUCUUACUGUGUUCAAGACUAGUUACUAGAUAUAUCUGACAUGUGUACCUAGUUUCAUGAUACUUAGAUCCUUGCUGGAUUUCUUUACCUUUUGGUAUAUAUUAUGGAGGUGUCAGGAUUUACAUGCUUAGUGACAUGCAUCAUUUUGCAUGAUUGCAUGCUGAGCGAUUGUCGGCUCUAUUAUUGUUGAGCACAUCACUUCAGUUACAUGGAUCUGCACACUUAACCACUCAUGGGUUAAUGGUAUAUCAUAUAGGGUGUCUUGCAGCAGGUUGCUUUGUCAAGAGCUCCGUUGGCCCGCUCAUGGGUAACGGUGAUGCAGCGUGGUUGCAGGAUAGGGAUCCCUCCUCUGGAAUGUCUCAGGGAGAUGAGAGCAUUGAGCUCCCCCACUCUGUUUGGGGUAACAGGAUAGGUGUACUCCGACAGCGUCCUGCCCACUCGGUCACUCAGGAAUAGUGAUGACAGAGUGGACAGUUGUCACAACCCUACCCACUCUGUCUCAUCAUCAUGUGUGAGAUGACUGACUGACAUCAGAGGUGACCAGGACAUUUUGCAUCAUAUGCAUGAAUUGCAUUUAUUGCUUGUGAUUGCUGCAUAUUUGAUGCUGCAUUUCUGUAGUUGCAUAUGAUUGACAUGCAUACAGGAGACAUGAUGGGUUUGGUCUGACGACUUUUAUGUCAGGAUAGGAGACCUUGGUGAGUACAGUUUCUCUUAUCUUUCAGUUUUGCAUUUUCAGUUAUUUUCCAGGAAACUGUACUGCAUAUUUAUUAUUAUCGGUUAUAUUGUAUUAUUCAUGUUAGCUUGGUAUCCGCUGAGUUCUUGGACUCACCCCGUGGUUUUAUUUUUCUAUUUCAGGUUGAAGUCGUCAGGAGGGUCAGUCGUUAGUCCCCAAUACAA